rnacentral:rRNA from 1 species
CCUACGGGUGGCAGCAGUGAGGAAUAUUGGUCAAUGGGCGGGAGCCUGAACCAGCCAAGUCGCGUGAGGGAAGACGGUCCUAUGGAUUGUAAACCUCUUUAGCCGGGGAGCAAUGCCGGGCACGCGUGCCCGAAGGGAGAGUACCCGCAGAACAAGCAUCGGCUAACUCCGUGCCAGCAGACGCGGUAAUACGGAGGAUGCGAGCGUUAUCCGGAUUUACUGGGUGUAAAGGGCGUGCAGCCGGAGAGACCAGUCAGAUGUGAAAUCCACGGGCUCAACCCGGGAACUGCAUUUGAAACUGUUUCACUUGAGUGUAGGAGAGGUAAUCGGAAUUCCUGGUGUAGCGGUGAAAUGCGUAGAUAUUAGGAAGAACACCAGUGGCGAAGGCGGAUUACUGGACGAUAACUGACGGUGAGGCGCGAAAGCGUGGGGAGCAAACAGGAUUAGAUACCCCUGUAGUC